UGGCCACAUUGGUUCCUAUAUGAUCACUGAAGUUAAGCAACAUUAAGCCUGGUUAGUACCUAGAUGGGUAAACACUUCAGAACACCAGGUGCUGUAAG